UGGGAGGAAAAGGUGGGGAUCGUAAGACCUUGCGCUAGAGGAGCGGCCGAUGUCUGAUUAGCUAGUUGGUGGGGUAAGAGCUUACCAAGGCGACGAUCAGUAGUUGGUCUGAGAGGACGGCCAACCACACUGGGACUGAGACACGGCCCAGACUCCUACGGGAGGCAGCAGUGGGGAAUUUUGGACAAUGGGGGCAACCCUGAUCCAGCCAUGCCGCGUGAGUGAAGAAGGCCUUCGGGUUGUAAAGCUCUUUCAGUCGGAAAGAAAAAACCAUGACUAAUAAUCAUGGUUCAUGACGGUACCGACAGAAGAAGCACCGGCUAACUACGUGCCAGCAGCCGCGGUAAUACGUAGGGUGCAAGCGUUAAUCGGAAUUACUGGGCGUAAAGGGUGCGCAGGCGGUUUCGUAAGUCAGAUGGAAAGCCCCCCGGGCUACCCUGGUU
rnacentral:rRNA from 1 species